GACGAACGCUGGCGGCGUGCUUAACACAUGCAAGUCGAACGGUGAAGGGACUGGUUUUGCUGGUCCUGGAUGAGUGGCGAACGGGUGAGUAACACGUGAGUAACCUGCCCCCUUCUUCUGGAUAACCGCAUGAAAGUGUGGCUAAUACGGGAUAUUCUGGGUCUGUCGCAUGGUGGGCCUGGGAAAGAUUGCGCCUUUUUUGGUGUUUUUGGUGGGGGAUGGGCUCGCGGCCUGUCAGCUUGUUGGGGGGGUGAUGGCCUACCAAGGCGGUGACGGGGAGCCGGCCUGAGGGGGUGGACGGUCACACUGGGACUGAGACACGGCCCAGACUCCUACGGGAGGCAGCAGUGGGGAAUAUUGCACAAUGGGCGCAAGCCUGAUGCAGCGACGCCGCGUGAGGGAUGGAGGCCUUCGGGUUGUGAACCUCUUUCGCCAGUGAAGCAGGCCUGCCUCUUUUUGUGGGUGGGUUGACGGUAGCUGGAUAAGAAGCGCCGGCUAACUACGUG
rnacentral:rRNA from 1 species